rnacentral:rRNA from 1 species
UGGGGAAUAUUGCACAAUGGGCGAAAGCCUGAUGCAGCAACGCCGCGUGAGCGAUGAAGGCCUUUGGGUCGUAAAGCUCUGUCCUUGGGGAAGAAACAAAUGACGGUACCCAAGGAGGAAGCCCCGGCUAACUACGUGCCAGCAGCCGCGGUAAUACGUAGGGGGCAAGCGUUAUCCGGAAUUAUUGGGCGUAAAGAGUACGUAGGUGGUCUUUUAAGCGCAGGGUUUAAGGCAAUGGCUUAACCAUUGUUCGCCCUGUGAACUGGAAGACUUGAGUGUAGGAGAGGAAAGUGGAAUUCCUAGUGUAGCGGUGAAAUGCGUAGAUAUUAGGAGGAACAUCAGUGGCGAAGGCGACUUUCUGGACUAUUACUGACACUGAGGUACGAAAGCGUGGGGAGCA